rnacentral:rRNA from 1 species
GUACACUCCUACGGGAGGCAGCAGUGGGGAAUAUUGGACAAUGGGCGCAAGCCUGAUCCAGCCAUGCCGCGUGAGUGAUGAAGGCCCUAGGGUUGUAAAGCUCUUUCACCGGUGAAGAUAAUGACGGUAACCGGAGAAGAAGCCCCGGCUAACUUCGUGCCAGCAGCCGCGGUAAUACGAAGGGGGCUAGCGUUGUUCGGAUUUACUGGGCGUAAAGCGCACGUAGGCGGACUAUUAAGUCAGGGGUGAAAUCCCGGGGCUCAACCCCGGAACUGCCUUUGAUACUGGUAGUCUUGAGUUCGAGAGAGGUGAGUGGAAUUCCGAGUGUAGAGGUGAAAUUCGUAGAUAUUCGGAGGAACACCAGUGGCGAAGGCGGCUCACUGGCUCGAUACUGACGCUGAGGUGCGAAAGCGUGGGGAGCAAACAGGAUUAGAAACCCCGGUAGUCCCAU